rnacentral:rRNA from 1 species
CCUACGGGUGGCAGCAGUAGGGAAUAUUGCACAAUGGAGGAAACCCUGAUGCAGCGACGCCGCGUGAGGGAAGAAGUAUUUCGGUAUGUAAAGCUCUAUCAGCAGGGAAGAAAAUGACUGUACCUGACUAAUAAGCUCCGGCUAACUACGUGCCAGCAGGCGCGGUAAUACGUAGGGGGCAAGCGUUAUCCGGAUUUACUGGGGGUAAAGGGAGCGUAGGUGGCAUGGUAAGGCAGAAGUGAAAACCCGGGGGUCAAACCCGCGGAUUGCUUUUGAAACUAGCAGGCUUGAGUGCUGGAGGGGUAAGCGGAAUUCCUGGUGUAGCGGUGAAAUGCGUAGAUAUUAGGAGGAACACCGAUGGCGAAGGCGGCUUACUGGACAGAAACUGACACUGAGGCUCGAAAGCGUGGGGAGCAAACAGGAUUAGAUACCCCGGUAGUC